ensembl:lncRNA
NNNNNNNNNNNNNNNNNNNNNNNNNNNNNNNNNNNNNNNNCCAGCCCUGAUUCUCCUGUUUUUCCGCUGGUUCCGUCCAGCCCUGAUCCUUCUGUGUUCCCUCCCAUCCGCCCUCUCCCGCCUCCUCUUCGACCUGUCAGUUCCUCGUCCUCAUCCCCGCUGGUGCCAGUCAGUCCCGCAGCUCACCCUCAGUCCGCGCCAUCUGGGCGCGGAGUUUCGCCGCAGGACUUCCAGUCACCACCUCCACCUGGGCGUGUGGAUUCCCUGCCUCCGCCUCCAGCCUCCGAGUCCUGGACUCCUCCUCGGUCCUUCGACCCGGCGGCUCCGCCUUGGCUCCUAGCUCCCUCGUCUCCACCGUGGCCCGGCAUCCCACCUGCUCCACCGGGCUCCCUCGUCCCUCCGGCUCCACCUUGGUCAGUCGUCGACCAUCCGCCGCCUCGGGACUCCAUUCCUCUGGCUUCGCCUCGUCGCUCCAUCCCUCCGGCUCUGUCAGGCUCCUCCUUCCCUUCGGCUCCACCUCCAUCCUCAGUCACUCCGGCUCCGCAGCGGUCUUCCGGUGCCCCGCCUCCGCCUUGGUCGCCUGAGCCUUCUGCUCCGCCUUGGCCCUCCGGAUCCUCGGGGUCACCCUGGCUCUGCGGUUGCUCGGCUCCGUCUUGGACUCCUCUGCCAUCGGCUCAGUCUCCGUCAGUCGGCCCCCUGGUGUUGUCGGCCCCUCCUCCACCAUGGCUCCUCCCACCGUCGACUCCACCAUGGGCCGCUUUCCUGGCUGGCCUCUGGAUAUCCAUCUGGCUCCUACUGCUCCGGGCUCCUCCAUGGCUCCUCCCUCCAUCCACUCCACCCUGGUACCAUGCUCCAUGCUCCUUCUCCAUUGCCUGCCCCUUGCCUGCCCCACGCCCACCUCCUGAACCCCCACCCUCCCUCCGCUGGACUAUCUCUUUCGGUGCGAGGACGCACCUUUCCGGGAGGGGGCGAACUGUCACAGUCAUGGACUUUCUGUUCCUUUUCUGUUAUCCCUAUUUGGUCAUGUUCCGUUCCAUUCCUCGUUUUGUUAAUUGAUUACUCCCCACCUGUUUCCACUCCUCUGAUUACUUUCCUUGUGUUUAAAAACCCUGUCUGUUCAGUUCCUUUUGGUCCGCUAUUAAUGUUAAUGUUUGAUGUUUAAUGUUCGAUUAUUUGGAUUUGUGUUUGGAUGUGCCCUUUUCUCCUGUGAAUCAUUAAAAGAACUCUUUAUAUAUAUCUUCUUCCUCGUGCGCUUUACUUAGCACGCCAGCCCGGGUGUGACCAUAUAUAUAUAUAUAUAUACAAUUACUGUAGUAAUUGUUUUUAUUUAGAUGAUACAUAUAUAUUAUU